GUUAAGCGACUAAGCGUACACGGUGGAUGCCCUGGCAGUCAGAGGCGAUGAAGGACGUGCUAAUCUGCGAUAAGCGUCGGUGAGGUGAUAUGAACCGUUAUAACCGGCGAUUUCCGAAUGGGGAAACCCAGUGUGUUUCGACACACUAUCAUUAACUGAAUCCAUAGGUUAAUGAGGCGAACCGGGGGAACUGAAACAUCUAAGUACCCCGAGGAAAAGAAAUCAACCGAGAUUCCCCCAGUAGCGGCGAGCGAACGGGGAGGAGCCCAGAGCCUGAAUCAGUGUGUGUGUUAGUGGAAGCGUCUGGAAAGGCGCGCGAUACAGGGUGACAGCCCCGUACACAAAAAUGCACAUAUUGUGAGCUCGAUGAGUAGGGCGGGACACGUGGUAUCCUGUCUGAAUAUGGGGGGACCAUCCUCCAAGGCUAAAUACUCCUGACUGACCGAUAGUGAACCAGUACCGUGAGGGAAAGGCGAAAAGAACCCCGGCGAGGGGAGUGAAAAAGAACCUGAAACCGUGUACGUACAAGCAGUGGGAGCCUCUUUAUGGGGUGACUGCGUACCUUUUGUAUAAUGGGUCAGCGACUUAUAUUCUGUAGCAAGGUUAACCGAAUAGGGGAGCCGAAGGGAAACCGAGUCUUAACUGGGCGUUAAGUUGCAGGGUAUAGACCCGAAACCCGGUGAUCUAGCCAUGGGCAGGUUGAAGGUUGGGUAACACUAACUGGAGGACCGAACCGACUAAUGUUGAAAAAUUAGCGGAUGACUUGUGGCUGGGGGUGAAAGGCCAAUCAAACCGGGAGAUAGCUGGUUCUCCCCGAAAGCUAUUUAGGUAGCGCCUCGUGAAUUCAUCUCCGGGGGUAGAGCACUGUUUCGGCAAGGGGGUCAUCCCGACUUACCAACCCGAUGCAAACUGCGAAUACCGGAGAAUGUUAUCACGGGAGACACACGGCGGGUGCUAACGUCCGUCGUGAAGAGGGAAACAACCCAGACCGCCAGCUAAGGUCCCAAAGUCAUGGUUAAGUGGGAAACGAUGUGGGAAGGCCCAGACAGCCAGGAUGUUGGCUUAGAAGCAGCCAUCAUUUAAAGAAAGCGUAAUAGCUCACUGGUCGAGUCGGCCUGCGCGGAAGAUGUAACGGGGCUAAACCAUGCACCGAAGCUGCGGCAGCGACACUAUGUGUUGUUGGGUAGGGGAGCGUUCUGUAAGCCUGUGAAGGUGGCCUGUGAGGGUUGCUGGAGGUAUCAGAAGUGCGAAUGCUGACAUAAGUAACGAUAAAGCGGGUGAAAAGCCCGCUCGCCGGAAGACCAAGGGUUCCUGUCCAACGUUAAUCGGGGCAGGGUGAGUCGACCCCUAAGGCGAGGCCGAAAGGCGUAGUCGAUGGGAAACAGGUUAAUAUUCCUGUACUUGGUGUUACUGCGAAGGGGGGACGGAGAAGGCUAUGUUGGCCGGGCGACGGUUGUCCCGGUUUAAGCGUGUAGGCUGGUUUUCCAGGCAAAUCCGGAAAACCAAGGCUGAGGCGUGAUGACGAGGCACUACGGUGCUGAAGCGACAAAUGCCCUGCUUCCAGGAAAAGCCUCUAAGCAUCAGGUAACAUCAAAUCGUACCCCAAACCGACACAGGUGGUCAGGUAGAGAAUACCAAGGCGCUUGAGAGAACUCGGGUGAAGGAACUAGGCAAAAUGGUGCCGUAACUUCGGGAGAAGGCACGCUGAUAUGUAGGUGAAGCGACUUGCUCGUGGAGCUGAAAUCAGUCGAAGAUACCAGCUGGCUGCAACUGUUUAUUAAAAACACAGCACUGUGCAAACACGAAAGUGGACGUAUACGGUGUGACGCCUGCCCGGUGCCGGAAGGUUAAUUGAUGGGGUUAGCGGUAACGCGAAGCUCUUGAUCGAAGCCCCGGUAAACGGCGGCCGUAACUAUAACGGUCCUAAGGUAGCGAAAUUCCUUGUCGGGUAAGUUCCGACCUGCACGAAUGGCGUAAUGAUGGCCAGGCUGUCUCCACCCGAGACUCAGUGAAAUUGAACUCGCUGUGAAGAUGCAGUGUACCCGCGGCAAGACGGAAAGACCCCGUGAACCUUUACUAUAGCUUGACACUGAACAUUGAGCCUUGAUGUGUAGGAUAGGUGGGAGGCUUUGAAGUGUGGACGCCAGUCUGCAUGGAGCCGACCUUGAAAUACCACCCUUUAAUGUUUGAUGUUCUAACGUUGGCCCGUAAUCCGGGUUGCGGACAGUGUCUGGUGGGUAGUUUGACUGGGGCGGUCUCCUCCUAAAGAGUAACGGAGGAGCACGAAGGUUGGCUAAUCCUGGUCGGACAUCAGGAGGUUAGUGCAAUGGCAUAAGCCAGCUUGACUGCGAGCGUGACGGCGCGAGCAGGUGCGAAAGCAGGUCAUAGUGAUCCGGUGGUUCUGAAUGGAAGGGCCAUCGCUCAACGGAUAAAAGGUACUCCGGGGAUAACAGGCUGAUACCGCCCAAGAGUUCAUAUCGACGGCGGUGUUUGGCACCUCGAUGUCGGCUCAUCACAUCCUGGGGCUGAAGUAGGUCCCAAGGGUAUGGCUGUUCGCCAUUUAAAGUGGUACGCGAGCUGGGUUUAGAACGUCGUGAGACAGUUCGGUCCCUAUCUGCCGUGGGCGCUGGAGAACUGAGGGGGGCUGCUCCUAGUACGAGAGGACCGGAGUGGACGCAUCACUGGUGUUCGGGUUGUCAUGCCAAUGGCACUGCCCGGUAGCUAAAUGCGGAAGAGAUAAGUGCUGAAAGCAUCUAAGCACGAAACUUGCCCCGAGAUGAGUUCUCCCUGAGACUUAGAGUCUCCUGAAGGAACGUUGAAGACGACGACGUUGAUAGGCCGGGUGUGUAAGCGCAGCGAUGCGUUGAGCUAACCGGUACUAAUGAACCGUGAGGCUUAACCUUACAACGCCGAAG
rnacentral:rRNA from 1 species